GACGAACCGUGCGAACGUUGUUCGGAAUCACUGGGCUUAAAGGGCGCGUAGGCGGGCUCGCAAGUCCGGGGGGAAAGCCCCCAGCUCAACUGGGGAAGCGCCUUGGAUACUGCGGGCCUCGAGGGAGGUAGGGGCGUGCGGAACUUCCGGUGGAGCGGUGAAAUGCGUAGAUAUCGGAAGGAACACCGGUGGCGAAAGCGGCGCGCUGGACCUCUUCUGACGCUGAGGCGCGAAAGCCAGGGGAGCAAACGGG
rnacentral:rRNA from 1 species